GAUCAUGGCUCAGGAUGAACGCUAGCUACAGGCUUAACACAUGCAAGUCGAGGGGCAGCAUUGGAGUAGCAAUACUUCAGAUGGCGACCGGCGCACGGGUGAGUAACACGUAUCCAACCUGCCGCUUACUCGGGGAUAGCCUUUCGAAAGAAAGAUUAAUACCCGAUGGUAUAAAGAGUUCGCAUGUUCUCUUUAUUAAAGAAUUUCGGUAAGCGAUGGGGAUGCGUUCCAUUAGAUAGUUGGCGGGGUAACGGCCACCAAGUCUACGAUGGAUAGGGGUUCUGAGAGGAAGGUCCCCCACAUUGGAACUGAGACACGGUCCAAACUCCUACGGGAGGCAGCAGUGAGGAAUAUUGGUCAAUGGACGAGAGUCUGAACCAGCCAAAAGUAGCGUGAAGGAUGACUGCCCUAUGGGUUGUAAACUUCUUUUAUAAGGGAAUAAAGUGAGGGACGUGUCCCUUUUUGUAUGUACCUUAUGAAUAAGGAUCGGCUAACUCCGUGCCAGCCGCCGC
rnacentral:rRNA from 1 species